AUUGAACGCUGGCGGCAGGCCUAACACAUGCAAGUCGAACGAGUGGCGGACGGGCGAGUAAUGUCUGGGAAACUGCCUGAUGGAGGGGGAUAACUACUGGAAACGGUAGCUAAUACCGCAUACCAUCGGAUGUGCCCAGAUGGGAUGAGCUAGUAGGUGGGGUAACGGCUCACCUAGGCGACGAGCCCUAGCUGGUCUGAGAGGAUGACCAGCCACACUGGAACUGAGACACGGUCCAGACUCCUACGGGAGGCAGCAGUGGGGAAAAUUGCACAAAGGGCGCAAGCCUGAUGCAGCCAUGCCGCGUGUAUGAAGAAGGCCUUCGGGUUGUAAAGUCCUUUCAGCGGGGAGGCGUUACCCGAAGAAGAAGCACCGGCUAACUCCGUGCCAGCAGCCGCGGUAAUAC
rnacentral:rRNA from 1 species